UUGGCUUUGUUGUUCACAUAUGCUAAAGUUGCAGUAAUACAGAGAUGAUUAGCAUGGCCUCUAAGCAAGGAUACUAUGCAAAUUUGUAAAGUAUUCCAUAAAAAC